AGCAAUUAUACCGUGAAACUGCGAAUGGCUCAUUAAAUCAGUUAUCGUUUAUUUGAUAGUACCUUACUACUUGGAUAACCGUGGUAAUUCUAGAGCUAAUACAUGCUGAAAACCCCGACUUCGGGAGGGGUGUAUUUAUUAGAUAAAAAACCAAUGCCCUUCGGGGCUCUUUGGUGAUUCAUGAUAACUUUUCAGAUCGCAUGGCCUUGCGCCGGCGACGGUUCAUUCAAAUUUCUGCCCUAUCAACUUUCGAUGGUAAGGUAUUGGCUUACCAUGGUUUCAACGGGUAACGGGGAAUUAGGGUUCGAUUCCGGAGAGGGAGCCUGAGAAACGGCUACCACAUCCAAGGAAGGCAGCAGGCGCGCAAAUUACCCAAUCCCGACACGGGGAGGUAGUGACAAUAAAUACUGAUACAGGGCUCUUUUGGGUCUUGUAAUUGGAAUGAGUACAAUUUAAACCUCUUAACGAGGAACAAUUGGAGGGCAAGUCUGGUGCCAGCAGCCGCGGUAAUUCCAGCUCCAAUAGCGUAUAUUAAAGUUGUUGCAGUUAAAAAGCUCGUAGUUGAACCUUGGGCCUGGCUGGCAGGUCCGCCUCACCGCGUGUACUUGUCCGGCCGGGCCUUUCCUUCUGGAGAACCUCAUGCCCUUCACUGGGUGUGCUGGGGAACCAGGACUUUUACUUUGAAAAAAUUAGAGUGUUCAAAGCAGGCCUUUGCUCGAAUACGUUAGCAUGGAAUAAUAGAAUAGGACGUGCGGUCCUAUUUUGUUGGUUUCUAGGACCGCCGUAAUGAUUAAUAGGGACAGUCGGGGGCAUCAGUAUUCAAUUGUCAGAGGUGAAAUUCUUGGAUUUAUUGAAGACUAACUACUGCGAAAGCAUUUGCCAAGGAUGUUUUCAUUAAUCAGUGAACGAAAGUUAGGGGAUCGAAGACGAUCAGAUACCGUCGUAGUCUUAACCGUAAACUAUGCCGACUAGGGAUCGGGCGAUGUUUCUAUCUUGACUCGCUCGGCACCUUACGAGAAAUCAAAGUUUUGGGUCUGGGGAG
rnacentral:rRNA from 1 species